rnacentral:misc_RNA from 1 species
AAGUCGUAACAAGGUUUCCGUAGGUGAACCUGCGGAAGGAUCAUUAACACGUAUCCAACGUUAAACAACCCUGUGAACUUUCAACGCUCUUGUAACCAGGCGGAACAGCAAUCCCGGUAAAUCAGUGGGCGGAAAAGUUUUGAUUCGGGACCUGCGUCCAAAAGUUACAAUCGAGCUAGGAGCAGUGGCAUGGUUUCCCUGAGUAAGGAUAACGCAUCACGGUUGCCAGAGGUCGAUCACCGGCCGGCAGGCUAUAUGCCCCUUCAUUCACACCUUGCUCUCUCAUGCCCGCCGGAAACGCCGGGCACAAAAACCGAACAACUGUUAACAAUGGAUAUCUUGGUUCUC